rnacentral:rRNA from 1 species
GUGGGGAAUAUUGGACAAUGGGCGCAAGCCUGAUCCAGCAAUGCCGCGUGGGUGAAGAAGGUCUUCGGAUCGUAAAGCCCUUUCGACAGGGACGAUGAUGACGGUACCUGUAGAAGAAGCCCCGGCUAACUUCGUGCCAGCAGCCGCGGUAAUACGAAGGGGGCUAGCGUUACUCGGAAUUACUGGGCGUAAAGGGCGCGUAGGCGGCUCUGUGAGUCAGGCGUGAAAUUCCUGGGCUUAACCUGGGGACUGCGCUUGAUACUGCAGGGCUUGAGGCCGAGAGAGGGUGGUGGAAUUCCCAGUGUAGAGGUGAAAUUCGUAGAUAUUGGGAAGAACACCGGUGGCGAAGGCGACCACCUGGCUCGGUACUGACGCUGAGGCGCGACAGCGUGGGGAGCAAACAGGAUUAGAUACCCUGGUAGUCC